AUUGGAUUUAUGAUUGUGCUAUUACUAUUUUCUAGUUUGUUACUGGGGUUUUAAUUGUAUUUAUUCUCUGUAUAAUGUUUCAAUCAUAGUUCUCCUUCAAUUAUCCAUUUUAUAAUUCCCGACAUCCUUGUCAUUAUCUUUCCAUUUUUUGGGGAACAGUUGUUAGAAUAUAUUGUAGCUUGUGAAAUGUUUGAAUAACGAUGACAUACAAGAGGGUGGGUAGGAUUAAUGAUCUAAUGUAACUCUGGUGAGAGUUGUUAGGUUUGUGUGGUAUGAAAGUGGGCUGUAAGAUUGAUAGAGGGAUUGAAUUUAGUUCAUUAAAGAACACUCUAGAGAAGAACUUUGAGGCUGUUCUUGAGGCUAGCUUACUUCCAUGGACUGUAACUUUUGGCUGCACUGAACUGUGGAUCGAAGAAAUAGAAAUAUACACCUAAAAAGACACUACUUUAAAAUUGUCUGUGUGUGGGU